rnacentral:lncRNA from 10 species
AAACUUGUGGAUUAGCUACUUUAUGAAAGAACAUUAUUUUAGUGUGCAAUUCUGGAGAAGCAAACAUUGAUCAACAUUUAUAUUUGAUAUCCUUAACUUUAAUAAACAUACACAAAACAAAAAUUGAGUUCAGUCCAGUAAUGGCAACCAAAUGGUGUUUUUUAACUUUCCAGAUUGACUUUGUGCCCAUUAUUUCAUUAAAGUUCUCUUGCUCUAAUGAGCUAGACUUGUGGGAAAAGGUUUAAAAAUAAAGCUGAAAAAAAAAAAGAAACUUUAGUGUGAUCUAAAAUUCGGUCUCAUCUAUUCUCUGUCAGCGUACGGUAGCACGGGGAACUGAAGAAACACUCUUCAGCCUUUGAAAAUCAAUGUGCAUUUAUAAGAGAGCUGCUGCCUUUCAGUCAUAGCAUUUUCCCUGCUGUCUUAUAAGUAUGUCCUGCACUAAAUUUUACAUGUCCCCAGACUCCUAUUUAAUUCUCACAGCUGGGAGACAGGACUAAGUCCAGCCAAAUCUGUUUUCCUAGAGUGCCUACAAAUCUGCCCUUUAAUAAUUUAUUUUCUCUACUAUAAUGGUCUCUAACUAAGCUCUAAUAGAUUUUGCCACACAGUUGCUGCUUUAAUCAGAGAAGAGAGUUUUAUGGGUUUAUUAAUCAUGCUCUUUUUCAAAAGCUGCUGAUUAAGCAUUUGCCUGACAGUUGCAAGCAGUCAGAAGGUACAAUGGAGGCUGUUUGCUUACUGAGUAGCAGCCUGCAGGUAGCUUUCUCAUAGGGCCCACAACAGACUGCAUACAGCUAGUGCCAACUGAGCAGACUGAAGUUUCAAUUCCCCCCAGCUCCCAGCAGCAGAUUGUUCUCAGCAAUCUUCUCCCCACCAUUUUAUUCACCAGGACUAUUCCAGCAGCCAAUAGCAAAAUUCCUUCCUGCUCUCCACAUCCCAAAGCAGCUAAAUUAUUUCUGAAAACUGAAUGACAUGCUUGGCAAAGAAUGUAUUCCACCCUGAGGCGCUACUUACAACAAGGUUUUCUUUGGCCUCCUCAAGCAGCAGACCCACUAAACACCAUCUCCCCCCGGCCUUCUAGGAAAGCGGCAACCUAAGCCACAUAGUCCCUUUAUGUGUUAUAGUCAAGGCACCAACUAACAGCCAAACAACACAGCAAGGCUUCCUGGAUUCAAGAAAACCCCUAUUUCUCCAAGGCCAAUUUACAGCACACUCAUAGGAACACACAUUCACACCAAACACCAACCAAGCUUGAGGUUUUGUUAGAAGUCAAGAUACCGGUAAUAAGCAGCAAGUUGUGUUUUUGAAAGAAAAAUUAACUAUUGAAUGUUUUUACACUGAAGAUAAAUGUUUUCUUCAAAAUGCAUAACUGUCUGGAAGUCCUUCAUAUUUCUUAGAUAUGUGUGUAAAUUUCCCUAUUCCCUUAGUGGUUAUUACCAAGUAGAGAAGAGUGAAAAUAUCCUUGAGGUGAAUUUAGUAAUGAUUGGUCCAUGACUUAUCUAAACUUUUCUACAUUUGGUUCCAGAGCAAACAUUUAAAGCAGUACUUCAUAUUCUCAACCUAGCAUAACUGUGUUAGAUGUACUUCUCCUUUGACUUAAAAUGAUCAGAUUUCUAAAAUUAAAUUUUUGCUGGAGUUAUCAACAUUAUGUGAUGUAUCUGUAAACACUAGAAAAUGAGCAGUUCUUUGUUUCAAUAUGGGUUUUCAUAUAAUGAAAGGUGAUUUAAAAUGAUAGUAAUUAAACUAUGGAAAGAAUAAAGCAAAAAUAUUUUAAAACUAUCUUAUGUUUCUUCAAAAUCAAGCUUUUAACUCUACACAAAGAUUUCCUGGGUUAGUAUUACAGAUACCUGUGUAGAUAUUUCAUCAUCAUGUCUAUUAAAAGUCUGGGGUCUUACAUGUUUCUAUUUGUAUCUCCUAUUUUGAAAGAAUUAAUGGACAAAUAAAACAGGAGACUUUAGUAUGGUACUUUAUACACUGUAGUAUACUAAGCAAGAAAAUCAUAAUAUUGAAAACUAAUGGUGCUCACUUCACCAACACAUAUACUAAAAUUGGAAUGAUACAGAGAAGAUUAACAUGGCCCCUGUGUAAGGAUGACAUGCAACAAAUUCACGAAGCGUUCCAUAUUUUUAAAACAGAAAAUUUAGCCUGGCAUGGUGGAACAAGCCUGUAGUCCCAGCUUCUCAGGAGGCUGAGGCAAGAGGAUCACCUGAGCCCUGAAGGCCGAGGCUGCAGUGAAUGGUGAAAGCACCACUGCACUCCAUCCUGGGCAAUGGAGUGAGCCCACAUCUCAAAACAGAAAAACAAAAAACAAACAACUAAUGAGAGAAAGGGAUGUUUUUAAAAACAGAUCAUUUUAGUUCUAAUGAAUUUAUAAAAAUUAAAAACUUAUUUUACGAGACAUUAGAAAGUCCCAAUACACACAUUUGAAUUCAUUUCUAUCCUUCACAUCAUAUUACAUUUUUAAAUAAGCAAUGACACAUACUGAGCUUUAAAGCUUGACAGAUUUAACAGAAAAACCAAAACCCCAAACCAUACAGCUGGUAAAUGAAAUAAUCAUCCGUUAGUCUUGAUAUGUGGAGAUCAUAUAUGCUCUGCUUCAAUCACCUGAAAAAAAUGGUAAAAUAAAUCUAUACUUCAGUCCAUUUUAAUUAAAUUAUAUUUAAUCAGCAUUAUCCAGGUAGUGCCAUGAACAGUUUUUACUGCUAUCAUUUCAAAA